rnacentral:sRNA from 1 species
UUGUUGCGGACAAAUAAAGUGAAUGUGGGUAUCGAUACCGCCUGCGGUUGCAAUUAAAUGUGCGCCGUUAUGCACUUCUGUGCUUGCACCGAUAAUCAUAUUUGGCGUGACGUUAUCCAUGGUGUCAGGGUUACCCGCUUGUCCAAUGCCGACAAUACGACCAUCGCGAAUACCAAUAUCUGCUUUGAUAAUGCCUAAUUUCGCAUCAAUGAUCAUCACGUUGGUAAUCACAAAAUCUAAUACUUUCGGAUUGUCGCGAGUUGCGGUGCCGCUUUGUGCCAUACCAUCGCG